GUCCUACCAAUUUUUACCACAGGCCGUGUUCUUUACACUGACUGUAUAGAAAGAGGAGGUACAGUAAAUGCAUCCCAUAUGCACCUCAAGCUAGGCCUUUUGUCUGGUCUGUUUUGUGAAUUGAGAGACAAAA